rnacentral:rRNA from 1 species
AGUCGAGCGGACAGAUGGGAGCUUGCUCCCUGAUGUUAGCGGCGGACGGGUGAGUAACACGUGGGUAACCUGCCUGUAAGACUGGGAUAACUCCGGGAAACCGGGGCUAAUACCGGAUGGUUGUUUGAACCGCAUGGUUCAAACAUAAAAGGUGGCUUCGGCUACCACUUACAGAUGGACCCGCGGCGCAUUAGCUAGUUGGUGAGGUAACGGCUCACCAAGGCGACGAUGCGUAGCCGACCUGAGAGGGUGAUCGGCCACACUGGGACUGAGACACGGCCCAGACUCCUACGGGAGGCAGCAGUAGGGAAUCUUCCGCAAUGGACGAAAGUCUGACGGAGCAACGCCGCGUGAGUGAUGAAGGUUUUCGGAUCGUAAAGCUCUGUUGUUAGGGAAGAACAAGUACCGUUCGAAUAGGGCGGUACCUUGACGGUACCUAACCAGAAAGCCACGGCUAACUACGUGCCAGCAGCCGCGGUAAUACGUAGGUGGCAAGCGUUGUCCGGAAUUAUUGGGCGUAAAGGGCUCGCAGGCGGUUUCUUAAGUCUGAUGUGAAAGCCCCCGGCUCAACCGGGGAGGGUCAUUGGAAACUGGGGAACUUGAGUGCAGAAGAGGAGAGUGGAAUUCCACGUGUAGCGGUGAAAUGCGUAGAGAUGUGGAGGAACACCAGUGGCGAAGGCGACUCUCUGGUCUGUAACUGACGCUGAGGAGCGAAAGCGUGGGGAGCGAACAGGAUUAGAUACCCUGGUAGUCCACGCCGUAAACGAUGAGUGCUAAGUGUUAGGGGGUUUCCGCCCCUUAGUGCUGCAGCUAACGCAUUAAGCACUCCGCCUGGGGAGUACGGUCGCAAGACUGAAACUCAAAGGAAUUGACGGGGGCCCGCACAAGCGGUGGAGCAUGUGGUUUAAUUCGAAGCAACGCGAAGAACCUUACCAGGUCUUGACAUCCUCUGACAAUCCUAGAGAUAGGACGUCCCCUUCGGGGGCAGAGUGACAGGUGGUGCAUGGUUGUCGUCAGCUCGUGUCGUGAGAUGUUGGGUUAAGUCCCGCAACGAGCGCAACCCUUGAUCUUAGUUGCCAGCAUUCAGUUGGGCACUCUAAGGUGACUGCCGGUGACAAACCGGAGGAAGGUGGGGAUGACGUCAAAUCAUCAUGCCCCUUAUGACCUGGGCUACACACGUGCUACAAUGGACAGAACAAAGGGCAGCGAAACCGCGAGGUUAAGCCAAUCCCACAAAUCUGUUCUCAGUUCGGAUCGCAGUCUGCAACUCGACUGCGUGAAGCUGGAAUCGCUAGUAAUCGCGGAUCA